ensembl:lncRNA
GGCGCACGCGCACAAAACUCGUCGAUGUACCAAAAAAGUACCGCCGAUAAGAGCAACCAAAGAAGAAGAGGAGAAAGAAAAGGAAGGACUGAAGGCAGGACGCUGUAAAGCCACGCGCAGCGGCGGAUCAUGUUCGUUCCUCUGCCGGUGCCGUUAGUGCUGCAGAGAGCUGCUCCCGACCUCUGGCGGCUCAAAGCCCCGCUGCCUCUGCGCUCCACACACGAUAUCAGGAUGAAUAAAGCAGUUGAUGAUGAGAAAGAAUGAAGCUGACUUUCCUGCAGACAGCACAGAUUCGAAGAAGAACAGUCCCAAGUCUAAUGAUCAGACCCAGCCAAUGAAAACAAGCCCAUUCUGCUUCUCUCCUGCCCCAAGCCACACCAAG